GUCAUCGUAGGGUUUUGCUUACUUAAAGCUUGAGAUUGAAGCCUUUUCUCUUACUCUUUCUCAGAAACUCCAUUUGCCAAAAGCCAACGUCAUCUCUUUAUCUUUAUUUCUUCUGCAGAUCUCACUAAAAUUCACGAAAGUCAAGGGUAUGCACCAAAUCAGAGAUCAGAUCUCCUUUGCUUUAAUCUUCGUCAGGCCGCUUGGAUAUGUUUGCAAUCGGCGCAGAUCAAUCGAAACAAUCAAAUCAUCAAAAACAGAGCUUGGCAGAGUCAGAUCUGCAAUAUAAGAGAACUUUGGAUUGGUUACUAUAAUCAAAGAGUCUCCUCUGUUUUUGUUAAUUUUUCUAUCAGUCCUGUGGAUACAAGUUGUGUCAUAAUUAUGAUCAUGAUGUAGGUCUGGUGCUUGGUUGUUUCUCUUUAUCCUCUUAUUUUAGUUUAGGGGUAGAGUUUUAAUUAUAUUAACAAAAGUUGUAAUACAAUAUCAUGCAAUACAGGUUGAAACUGGACACACAGUUAUUGUUCAUGCUGCGGUGGGAUUGACGGGGUAUAUGAUUCUGUAGUGGCUGUUCUAUUUCCUUAUUCUCCUCUUGCACAAAGCCAAGUGAUGUAAUUGAUUUUAAUUGUGUUGAGAUCUUGUUCAGGAUUAAUUGGUAUCGAUUUUCUUUUCCCUGAUUAUUUGAUUUGCUAUAGUCAACUAGUUGAAUAGUUAUUGGUUCUUUGUUUUAGCGUUCCUACAAAUGUGAUGUUUGUUUCAUGUAGUUUGAUUUAUGGGACCUUUUGUUUUUUCAAAUUAUACGGAUUUUGUGUCGAUACAGUUGAGCUACUGCCCUUAGUUAACAUUGCAAUUUUUUUCCUCUUCCAAUCUAGUAUUUUAUCUGUUUACUUGUUAAGUGGAUUAUGUUUACUGCACACACACCAUCAAGUAAUGAUUCAAUGGAGCCCAGAAUCUAUGCUGUGAGAACUUCAAGUGUGAAGUGGUUUGAAGGGAAACCAAUUUCACUAUUUGGGAUAGAAAUUGAAAUGGUUUAGAACUUUCCUCCUUUGCAUUGAGAAAUAUAAUCUCUAGCAAGCCUUAAUUUAUUACCCACUGAACCUAUUAUCCUCUCUUUCUUUACCGUGAAAAGAAGUUGAUAAUUGAUAAUGGUUUAAACUUUGUGAAGUUACUUGUUUAUUUGAUGGUAGUAGUUAGUUCAUUGAAUGGCUCUAAAACGUCUUUUUCAACAGCCAUCUUUGUUAAAAUUAGUUUGUUCGUGCAAUUCUCUUAUCCCUACUCUUAAGUUUUAUAUCUUUUUCUAUCUAAUUUGGGUUGGAAUAGAUUGCUGCAUCUGGGCAUUUCUUAGGGAUUUUCAUUAACUCAAAUUUGUUGGCUGUCAUUUUUGUUUACCUAGUAGUUUUUAUAAACAGUUGUUCUUGCUGUAAUUAGUGUGGAAAAGUUUUGAUUUCAAAUGUGGUUUUUGAAUUGAGUAAAUCUUCAUGAGCUCUUAGUAAAGCUGGCCAUUCACAUGCUUAUGCGAUUGACUUGGACAUAUACAGCAAAAGAUGCCUUGUUUGAUGAACUUAUCUAAAUAAUAAAAAAUGUCUGGGGUAGGAAAGGCUAACCAGUCCAAGAAUUCUUUGCAGCUGAAUGAUUGUAGAAGAUCGUCGGAGGUUAGAUACUUUUCCUAUUCUUUGCCAAUAUUAAAUAGUGAAUAUGAAAGGCCUGCAUCUGGUCUCCUCUCCAUCCAUGAAUUCCUUUUAAGGUUGAUGGAUGGAAGGCACAGAAAGGGCCUCAACCUGAGAUUACUUUUUGUGCCAAGCCUUUAAGAGCAGAAACAUUUCUGGAUCCAAUGUGCGACAUCAAUUUCACAACAGGACCGUUACAAAUAAAAUAACUAAAUUGAAUGAAGUGUCCAACAAUUCUUCCCGUUAUAGCUCCAUUACUUGCAACGAUUCCUCUGCUGUUAUGUCAAAAGGAUCUAAUGCUACUAAUCCAUCUGCUAUGUUCAUCGAUUAUGCUGAAUAAGACAAGUCUACAAAGGGAAAUUCAUGAAAGGAGGCAAGAAGGAAGGGAAAACAUAAAUAGAAGCAUUUAUGUGAUGUUGGCUCCAGAGAGUCAGAAGUUUGUUAGAGUAUACCUAUGGAAGUUAAGCAUCUGAAAUCUGUGGUAACAAUGACAUGAACUCUGGAUGACAUGCAACUUUACAAGAAGUUUCACCAUCCGAUGGUUUGCUUAAUAUAACUGAUUUUGCAGGCAGCAGCAAUGGUAUUUUUACAAGUUUUCAAUCACCAAAUGUAUACACCUCUGACAUUGAUGAAGUGGAUAUACCUGAAUGUAUUGUACCUUCUCAAGUUCAGAAGCUUCCUAGGGAGCAUCAUACAAAUAACUCUGAAAUUAGUAGGGAAGACCAGUUUCUAUAGGUGGAGAGGAGACAUCCUUCACAUAUGGGUUUUCUUAUAGAUUUACAUGAGAAGGAUUUCCAUGAUAUGCAUGAUUCCCUAGUGUUGGACUCAGUUUCUGUUGGUUCAAACGGUGAAGACGGUGUUAGUGCUGGUCAUAUUGUUAAUCCAUUUAUUGGCAAUAGCAAUGAAACCUUUCAAUCAGAUUUACCAGGUUCCAAUACGAAGAAGGGGUCCUAUUGUCAAAACUUGUUAUGUAUAUUUCAAUACGAAGAAGGGGUCCUAUUGUCAAACCUCAUUAUGUAGCAUUUCAGAAAGCUGUGAUUUUAGUGAGGGAACCGAGCAUGGUCUGGCUUGUAGCACAGCUUUGAUGGACGAAUGGUUGCAUCAGGCAAGAGGGGUAAGCAGUGUAAAUCUAUUCAUGGGAGUUCAAGUACUUGCAAACUUGGAAGUAUAGAGAACUUGCAUGGUAGAACGCAUCAGGCAAGAGGGGUAAGCAGUGUAAAUCUAUUCAUGGGAGUUCAAAUACUUGCAAACUUGGAAGUAUAGGGAACUUGCAUAGUAGAAGGGGAACAGAGAACAGUCAUUCUGUUUGUUAAAGGGUUCAGAGAAUGCUGUAGAGACAUGCAACACUGGGUUGAAUAAAACAGAUCCCAUUUGCUCACAGUUUGAUGUUACUUUAAAAGAUGAUCCAUUGCUGAAAAGAAAUUCUAAAGCUGCCAAUGUAAACCUUACCUAUUACUGAUGACAAGAAGAAGUUAAAAAAUAAGGUUCAUAGGAAGUUGAAAAGACAAGUUAGUGCAGCUUCAAAACAAGAAAACAGCAGACAUUCCAGGAAGGAGUCUCAUCCCAACAAGGUAAACUUAAAUGCUUAUGAAAAGGCUAGCAUGCCAAAAAGUGAAAUAUUAGAUGUUCAAACUUUUCUGGAUGACCAUAGAGUAAUUUAAAAUUUUUCAAGGUCUUAUUCUCAGCUUGGUUGUGAGGAUUUUGACUGUGAAAUCUUAAUCAGUUAACGAAUUUAAAGUUGGUCCAAGCAGGAUGGAACCAUGUGAAAGUGUCUGUGUUACUGCUUCUGGUUUUAAUAAUCUAAAUAUAGAGAUUCAAGACAGCUUAUUGCAAAUGCGUCCCUUUGGACCAGUCAAAUUUUCUUAGAUUUUCAGUUCUUGUUCCAAAACCAAGCAUGACUGAACCAUUCAGAGGUUUGAAUUUGAUAUUAAAACAUGAAAGGUGCCUAUACCUAUGUGGUUCUUCUAAUUUUGUCUUCCAUGUUUCCUUCCCCUUGGAGCAGCAGCUCCGGCAGCAGGAGGAGGAGGUGGAUUUGGAGGUGUAUCUCCAGCAUGGGGAGGAGGAGGAUUAUUUCCGGCAUUAGGAGCUGGAUUUUUCUGUUAAGAUGAGAGAUUCAGUUAAAGCUUUCGAAUCAAACCUAAGAACUGAAAUCAAAUGUUAAUAGAAAUAAUCUCUUGAGCUUAAACUUCGACUCUGCUUUACCUGAAGACAGUUAGGGCAGUCGGUGGAUUGGUGACACUUAUAGGUCGGCAAGCCCUUUUGCAUUUUUGAUCUUAUUGCCACAUCUGGAGCACUUCCAAGUCAUUGUAGUUGGUUUUGCAGCAUGGUUUUUUCUUUUCUGAGUUGAAGGGCUUGUAUCUCUUUGUACAAGUGAUUUAUAAUUUCAUUACUUAGCCUUCCAAUUGGGGAAGGAUUCAUGAAGUUAAAUAAUGGACUUAAAGCCCUAUUUAACUUUGAAAGAAAAGGAAUAAAAAAGAUGUAACAUUGCUUUGGUUAAGAAUAAAAAACAAUUGA